rnacentral:rRNA from 1 species
UACAGAGGUCUCAAGCGUUGUUCGGAUUCAUUGGGCGUAAAGGGCGCGUAGGUGGCCCGGUCAGUUCGUGGUGAAAGCGCGGGGCUCAACCCUGCGUCGGCCAUGAAUACUGCCGCGGCUGGAGCACUGUAGAGGCAGGCGGAAUUCCGGGUGUAGCGGUGGAAUGCGUAGAGAUCCGGAAGAACACCGGUGGCGAAGGCGGCCCUGCUGGGCAGUUGCUGACACUGAGGCGCGACAGCGUGGGGAGCAAACAGGAUUGA